GACAGAGGGUGCAAACGUUGUUCGGAAUUACUGGGCGUAAAGCGCGUGUAGGCGGCUAAGUAAGUCGGGCGUGAAAUCCCACGGCUCAACCGUGGAAGUGCACUCGAAACUGCAUAGCUAGAGUCCUGGAGAGGAAGGUGGAAUGCUUGGUGUAGAGGUGAAAUUCGUAGAUAUCAAGCGGAACACCGGUGGCGAAGGCGGGUCUCUGGGCCGAUACUGACGCUGAGGCACGAAAGCGUGGGGAGCAAACAGG
rnacentral:rRNA from 1 species